rnacentral:rRNA from 1 species
CCUACGGGAGGCAGCAGUGGGGAAUAUUGCACAAUGGGGGAAACCCUGAUGCAGCGACGCCGCGUGAGUGAAGAGGUAUCUCGGUACGUAAAGCUCUAUCAGCAGGGCAGAUAAUGACGGUCCCUGACCAAGAAGCCCCGGCUAACUACGUGCACGCCGCCGCGGUAAUACGUAGGUGGCCAGCGUUUUCCGGAUUUACUUGGUGUACAGGGAGCGUAGACGGCAGCACAAGUCUGGAGUGAAAUCCCGGGGCUUAACCCCGGAACUGCUUUGGAAACUGUGCGGCUGGAGUGCAGGAGGGGUGAGCGGAAUUCCUAGUGUAGCGGUGAAAUGCGUAGAUAUUAGGAGGAACACCGGUGGCGAAGGCGGCUUACUGGACUGUAACUGACGUUGAGGCUCGAAAGCGUGGGGAGCAAACAGGAGUAGAUACCCUGGUAGUC